rnacentral:lncRNA from 1 species
UGUAAUACAAAAAAUUGAUACUCGACUAAAACUCCAGUGAACAUAUAUAUAUCAUCAAUUACAGUAGGUGAUUACCUAUUUCGAUUCCUCUAACCAAACAACCCAUCUCAUUGUAUGCCUUAUAGUCUCCAAAUAAACAUUACUAUUCCAAAAUUACAUAGCAGGGUGAAUGAGAGAGAGAGAGAGAGCUGACACACAUACAAAGGUUGCAGGCAUUGGCAGCCGUUCCAGUAAUUGCGUCCUUGACAUAAAUUAUUUUAGAACUGG